GAGGUUUUAGCUAAUUAAAGUGCUUGAGUUGCAUUCAAGAGAUGUAAAUUAGAGUUUUACACGCCUU
rnacentral:tRNA from 1 species